rnacentral:rRNA from 1 species
UCCGGGGGAUGCAAUCGUUAUCCGGAAUCACUGGGCGUAAAGCGUCUGUAGGCGGUGAUGCAAGUCACUGGUGCAAAACUCUGGCUCAACCGCAGGAAUGCCAGUGAAACUGCAUGUCUAGAGUGUGGGAGAGGUAGAAGGAAUUCCCUGUGUAGCGGUGAAAUGCGUAGAUACAGGGAAGAACACCGGAGGCGAAAGCGUUCUACUGGACCACAACUGACGCUGAGGGACGAAAGCUAGGGGAGAGAAUGGG